AAAAAGGGUGCUUGCUGCUUUUGUAUGGUACGUUUGGUCGAGUUUUCAUCCCGGCCAGGCGAGGUAUGGUUAUCAAGACAUACCUAGCACAUAAUUUUUAUCCUUAGAGGGAUGUUGAUGAUUGUUUCGACUAGUCGGCGCCCUC